rnacentral:lncRNA from 1 species
CUCUAAGUAAUCUUAGCACAAAACUAGGUAAUAAUCUUUCCUCUUUUCACACAUUCUUGGAUUAGAAGAAGACAUAUGACAAGAGAAAUGGCAGUCUCCAAAAUAAUGAGUGUAGAAUAUCCCUUAAGAAUUUAUUUCAGAGAUUUUCUCAAAUGUGUGUCCCAAUAUGACCCAGUUCUAAACACCUUCUUACUUUUUGUGUUAUUUUAAUUCUUGGAAAGUACACCACACAUUACUGAACUGCCAGAUUAGAAGCAGGCAUGAGACAAGUUGAAUGAUAAUGUAGUCUUUCCAACUUGAAGUUCACUCUCUUUUUAUAAGCAGAAAUUUAAAUAACCUUACAGACUUUUCUGUCCCUUUCUCUUUCUUGGCACCUGUACUCUCUCUUCCCAAGGAUCCAAGUUGCUCAGGUUUAGGUUGAAGAAGCAAAACCAUUCCAUUUCUUGUGUUGUCUCUGAAUUAACCUAAUGGGUUGAGUAACCAUAAAACUGAUUGCUUAAACUGAGCCAUUUUGCGUGAAAUGGGGACAUGAUCAAGAUUAUGUGGUAUAAUGGACAUAAACAGGCAUUUCCCUGGACAUAGUGGACUGUGGUCACUGCUUGUACAGCAAGACAAGGUUUAGUCUAUCUCUGAGAGCAUCUUUUUGGAUCAAAUCUAAUUGUCUGUAAACACAUGAAAAAGAGUGACGUGAUGAUGUUCAGAAUUUUCAGAGGUAGAAUGUGUAAACAUUUGGGACUGAAUGUGUAAACUGAGUUGUGAGUAUUUCAGACUCACUAUAAUUUCAUGGAAAGCUAGAUAAAAUGAAGAUGAAUAUAGAGAUGAUUGCUUCAUUUUUUUUUCUUUUUUUGGCCACACCAGGGAGUUUGUGGGAACCAGGGAUUGAAUCUGUGUUCCCUGAAGAGGAGUGCAGAAUCUUAACUGCUGGACUGCCAGGGAAGUCCCACUUAAGGUUUUUUAAUGUUUAUUUCAGAAUCCAGAGGUGCUGAUUCAGUGUCAUGUCCAAGUACAUUUCCUCAGGACGUUGAUGAGGUUAAAGUGCAGAAUGACUGUAGAAAGAAGCAAGAAAAUACAGCAAACAUGCAGAGAAGCAGCACCAAGACCAUGUGGCUCCUUGAGAAAUUGAGUCCUGUGCUUCCAGAUUUUCCGGUCUUUAUCUGCAGGGUUGACACUCAUCCAAGCAAGAGGGACUCCUGCCAUGAACCCUUUAAAGCACCUGGGCUCCACAGAUCACAAACUCAUGAGAAAAGUCUCUGUCCAAGAGAUUUUCCAGGGCCAAGAUAUUUGAAAGAUAAAUGUCUAGAGCCCCUCUCGUGACUCAGUGGUGGAGAAUCCACUUGCCAAUGCAGGAGAUACGGGUUUGAUUCCUGAUUUGGGAAGAUCCACGUGCCACAGAGCAACUAAAACUCGUGCAUCACAACUAUUGAGCCUGUGCUCUAAAGCCAGGGAGCCACAACAACUGAAGCCCGUGUGCCUAGAAAUUGUGCUCCACAAGAGAAGCCAGCACAAUGCAAAGACUGCACACCACAACUCAAGAGUCGCUCCCGCUCACCUCAACUAGAGAAUAGCCCGCGCGGCAACGAAGACCUAGGACAGACAAAAAUAAGACAAUAAACUUCUUAAAAAUGAUAAAUGCUUUGACUCU